UCAGAGAAAAGCAACCCAGAAGACUGGGGGUGUGAGGGACUGAUUUAUGAGGGCAGAUUAAAAGAAUGAAAAGUGUAUAGCCAGCGCGGCUAAGUGAUGACUAAGGGAGGGCAUGAUAAACUGCCUCUGCAACCCUUUAAAGACCAUCUCCCAGCCCUGGCAGCUGGCAUCCACAUCUAUGCUUAACCUGGCUGCUAAGGGCAGGAAACCGCACACCAUGCAAGAGGCAAGAUCCUCCCAGCUGAGAGGGGAAGGUGGAGGAAAUGCAAGGACAUCAGAGAGCUCUGCCUGAGCAACUUGCUCAGACCUCUGUUAUGCGGGGGAGAGGGAGGCCAGGAAGAGCUGAGUCAUGGACUCCACAUGCUUCAAGAGUGAAGUAAACAAAGACUAAGGAGGAGGAAACGGAAGGUCGUCACGCAGGCAAAGGGGAGGUGCAACGAUUAACCAGCAGGCCGGAGUGGGGUGAGCUCAUCGGCUGGAUGAAUGGGCAGCCUGGCCCAGCUGGAAUUCAGAGCACUGCAGACAACACUGAGCCGGACGCAUUCAUCUGCAGCAGGGGAGAGAUGAAAGCGUUUCCUGCGCUGGCUGCCUGGCUGACCACAGCACCAAAGCACCCCCCCACCCCC